UGGGAAUCUUCGGCAAUGGACGAAAGUCUGACCGAGCAACGCCGCGUGAGUGAAGAAGGUUUUCGGAUCGUAAAACUCUGUUGUUAGAGAAGAACAAGGACGUUAGUAACUGAACGUCCCCUGACGGUAUCUAACCAGAAAGCCACGGCUAACUACGUGCCAGCAGCCGCGGUAAUACGUAGGUGGCAAGCGUUGUCCGGAUUUAUUGGGCGUAAAGCGAGCGCAGGCGGUUUCUUAAGUCUGAUGUGAAAGCCCCCGGCUCAACCGGGGAGGGUCAUUGGAAACUGGGAGACUUGAGUGCAGAAGAGGAGAGUGGAAUUCCAUGUGUAGCGGUGAAAUGCGUAGAUAUAUGGAGGAACACCAGUGGCGAAGGCGGCUCUCUGGUCUGUAACUGACGCUGAGGCUCGAAAGCGUGGGGAGCAAACAGGAUUAGAUACCCUGGUAGUCCACGCCGUAAACGAUGAGUGCUAAGUGUUGGAGGGUUUCCGCCCUUCAGUGCUGCAGCAAACGCAUUAAGCACUCCGCCUGGGGAGUACGACCGCAAGGUUG
rnacentral:rRNA from 1 species